rnacentral:rRNA from 1 species
UACGUAGGGUGCGAGCGUUGUCCGGAAUUAUUGGGCGUAAAGAGCUCGUAGGCGGUGUGUCGCGUCGGCCGUGAAAACCUGCAGCUUAACUGUGGGCUUGCGGUCGAUACGGGCAUCACUGGAGUUCGGCAGGGGAGACUGGAAUUCCUGGUGUAGCGGUGAAAUGCGCAGAUAUCAGGGAGGAACACCGGUGGCGAAGGCGGGGUCUCUGGGCCGAUACUGACGCUGGAGGAGCGA